rnacentral:rRNA from 1 species
CCAAUGUGAACGUUACCAAACUGUUGCCUCGGCGGGAUCUCUGCCCCGGGUGCGUCGCAGCCCCGGACCAAGGCGCCCGCCGGAGGACCAACCAAAACUCUUAUUGUAUACCCCCUCGCGGGUUUUUUACUAUCUGAGCCAUCUCGGCGCCCCUCGUGGGCGUUUCGAAAAUGAAUCAAAACUUUCAACAACGGAUCUCUUGGUUCUGGCAUCGAUGAAGAACGCAGCGAAAUGCGAUAAGUAAUGUGAAUUGCAGAAUUCAGUGAAUCAUCGAAUCUUUGAACGCACAUUGCGCCCGCCAGUAUUCUGGCGGGCAUGCCUGUCCGAGCGUCAUUUCAACCCUCGAACCCCUCCGGGGGGUCGGCGUUGGGGAUCGGCCCUUUACGGGGCCGGCCCCGAAAUACAGUGGCGGUCUCGCCGCAGCCUCUCCUGCGCAGUAGUUUGCACACUCGCAUCGGGAGCGCGGCGCGUCCACAGCCGUUAAACACCCCAAACUUCUGAAAUGUUGACCUCGGAUCAGGUAGGAAUACCCGCUGAACUUAAGCAUAU